AUGGUGAAGUCCAUGCUGGACCUGAGACAGCUGGACAAAGACAAACCUGUCCCCUCCAGCCUGCAGGACGCCACGGAGCAGGCGGAGGAGAGGUCCUGGAGGCGCUGGCCCUGGCUGUCCUGCCCCAGAGACGCCGCGGCGCUCCUUCCCGAGGAAAAGCAGCUUCCAGACGGCGAGCACACUGCGAGGGAAAGCCGCCGCGGCUCCCCGGAGCUCCUCAGCCAGAGCCAGGACGGCUGCAGCCCUGACAGCGCCUGUUCGCUCGGAUACGACAGCGGCGAGUCCAUCCCGGAACGGGGGCGGAGCCUCCACGGACAACCAGACCCGUGUAGCUACGGAGAAUCCCGUCACCUCAGCAGCUCUGAGGAAGAAGAGGAUGGAGCAGUGACGAGUCUGGACGAAGCUCUGAGGAGCGUCAACGCCGACCACAGUCAGCAGGACUUCCUGAGGGAGAACUACGAGACGCUGGGAGAAAGCUGCAGCACUGGGCAGAACUGCCUCCAAAGGGUCAGUAUCUCUUCUCGCUUCCUGUCCAGAGGGCGCCAUGACAGGGAGCGGGACGGCCCGGCUAAAGUCAGAGCCGACAGGAAGUCCUCUGGAUCCCACCUCUGGAGAAGGUCCAGUCCUGCGUGUGAAGAGCUGCUGACCUCUGACCCCACUUUCCAGAGGUCCCAUUCUGCUCAGGACUUGGCGUCAAACCCUCUGGGCUCCCCUGCGCCCCCUGGUGCCCACAGGGAGUCCCGCAUGAGACCUCAGCAGCUGUCGCUGUCUGAAGACAACCUGAAGCCCUCCUUCCCCGUUUCCUCCCCCUCUUCUGGGUCUUCUGGCUCGCCACGGUCCCCGCAGCCCUGGGAGAGCCCCAAAUCCAGGAUCCAGCACUCCUACAUGAACCCCACCAUCAGCUCUCUGGCCAAAAGCAGCAGGUCGCUGUCUCUGGACGAUGACCUUCGGUCUGACACGCCGCCGCGCUCCCCGUGCACCAGUGAGAGCACAAGGAGGUUCUCCGGUGGCGAUGUGGAGACGGCGCCACCACUGUUCUCCUCUUCUCCUCGGACCGCCCUCCCUCCCUCAGUUUCAUCGAUGCCGUCUCUCCUGCUGAGUCCUCCGUCAAGCAGCCCCCCUCAGAGUCGACCCGCAGCCUCACCUCUCCGUCCCAACGCUCCGCCUUCUCGCAUCCCGCUUCUGAGGCAGCCGCUCAGCCCCGGACGCCUCCACAAGAUGAGGCCGAGCUCCAGCUGGUGCGGCGCCGUGGGCGGAGCUUCCAGCCCUGCGGCAGAUGCGGGCUACUGGGUUCCGCCCUCACCUGAAAAACUCAAAGUGUGUUUCAGACACAGUUUGGAUCCCGGUUCUCCAAGUUCUCUGCCUGUAAGGCAGAAACGGAGGUCCCUGUCCGCGAGCUGGAGGGAGGGAGACGAAAAACAGCGCCCUCUGGUGGCUGAUGAUGACCACAGCAGAAGCCCCGAAACGGGUUUUAUGGUCUCCGUGGAAACCUGCAGGCGAGCUGCCGCAGAUCUCCAAAGCAGUCUGCAGAAAACCGUGGCGCUUCUCACAACGUUACCGCGGAGAAACCAGCAUCCCAGUGAGGAGCAGCAGGAGAUGAGAGCCGUCCUGACUGAAGCUCUGCUCGCCGUGAAAGUCCAGCUGGAAAUAACCCCCCCCAUAUGA
ensembl:lncRNA